AAUAGAAACGAGCACAACGUUAUACGUAAGGUUGAAAGUGACUAGGAUAGUUGGUUUCAAAAACCUUGUGCAAAGUUCCUAGGACGGUUGCGUUUCUUUUUCUUUUUGUCACAUUCGUUCCACAGACUACAAUCUUCGAAGAAAGGGAAAGGACCUUAUAAGCCCCGCCAGACGUCUCGGUAUGCUUGUAAACAUGCAGUCGUUUGCUAUCUUGGUUAUUGGCAUCAUCUGGUGUUCGUGGUCAUCAGGGUUGACUCACGAUCAUAGCAACCUUGCACGCCACGCACCCACCGUUACACCAGGGCCGUGCCAAGAGCCAUUUGUGAACGUGUGUGAUACGUGUCCACUACGCACCGAAUGUGAUACGGAUUGCCUAAGUGUCGGUCCUCCUGCUAUACGCCCUUGUAUCCAGAGAAGAGGCUGCCUGUGUGAUAACAGCACAGGAUACAUCCUUGACAUCGGAAGAGACUGCGUCACGUACCAGGAGUGCAUGAAAAUAUUUGCCGAACACCACGUAGGGCGGUGAUUCGCAGCACAGGAUGGUCGUACGCUCUCAAGUACAUGGAUACUCGAGCAAUACUGAAAUAAAAAAGACUGAGCGCGUGGA